rnacentral:rRNA from 1 species
GAGUUUGAUCAUGGCUCAGGAUGAACGCUGGCGGCGUGCUUAACACAUGCAAGUCGAACGAACCUUCGGGUUAGUGGCGGACGGGUGAGUAACGCGUGAGAAUCUGCCCUCAGGAGGGGGACAACAGCUGGAAACGGCUGCUAAUACCCCAUAUGCCGCGAGGUGAAAUGAAUUUCGCCUGAGGAUGAGCUCGCGUCUGAUUAGCUAGUUGGUGUAGGUAAUGGCUCACCAAGGCAUCGAUCAGUAGCUGGUCUGAGAGGAUGAUCAGCCACACUGGGACUGAGACGCGGCCCAGACUCCUACGGGAGGCAGCAGUGGGGAAUUUUCCGCAAUGGGCGAAAGCCUGACGGAGCAACGCCGCGUGAGGGAUGAAGGCCUCUGGGCUGUAAACCUCUUUUAUCAAGGAAGAAGAUCUGACGGUACUUGAUGAAUAAGCCACGGCUAAUUCCGUGCCAGCAGCCGCGGUAAUACGGGAGUGGCAAGCGUUAUCCGGAAUUAUUGGGCGUAAAGCGUCCGCAGGCGGCCCUUCAAGUCUGCUGUUAAAAAGUGGAGCUUAACUCCAUCAUGGCAGUGGAAACUGUUGGGCUUGAGUGUGGUAGGGGCAGAGGGAAUUCCCGGUGUAGCGGUGAAAUGCGUAGAUAUCGGGAAGAACACCAGUGGCGAAGGCGCUCUGCUGGGCCAUCACUGACGCUCAUGGACGAAAGCCAGGGGAGCGAAAGGGAUUAGAUACCCCUGUAGUCCUGGCCGUAAACGAUGAACACUAGGUGUCGGGGGAAUCGACCCCCUCGGUGUCGUAGCCAACGCGUUAAGUGUUCCGCCUGGGGAGUACGCACGCAAGUGUGAAACUCAAAGGAAUUGACGGGGGCCCGCACAAGCGGUGGAGUAUGUGGUUUAAUUCGAUGCAACGCGAAGAACCUUACCAGGGUUUGACAUCCUGCGAAUCUCUUGGAAACAGGAGAGUGCCUUCGGGAACGCAGUGACAGGUGGUGCAUGGCUGUCGUCAGCUCGUGUCGUGAGAUGUUGGGUUAAGUCCCGCAACGAGCGCAACCCACGUCUUUAGUUGCCAGCAUUUAGUUGGGCACUCUAGAGAGACUGCCGGUGAUAAACCGGAGGAAGGUGUGGAUGACGUCAAGUCAUCAUGCCCCUUACAUCCUGGGCUACACACGUACUACAAUGCUACGGACAAAGGGCAGCAAGUUCGCGAGGACAAGCAAAUCCCAUAAACCGUGGCUCAGUUCAGAUCGUAGGCUGCAACUCGCCUACGUGAAGGCGGAAUCGCUAGUAAUCGCAGGUCAGCAUACUGCGGUGAAUACGU